rnacentral:rRNA from 1 species
GACGUACGCUGGCGGCGUGCUUAACACAUGCAAGUCGAACGGAAAGGCCCUGCUUUUGUGUGGUGCUCGAGUGGCGAACGGGUGAGUAACACGUGAGUAACCUUCCCUUGACUUUGGGAUAACUUCAGGAAACUGGGGCUAAUACCGGAUAGGAGCUCCUGCUGCAUGGUGGGGUUUGGAAAGUUUCGGCGGUUGGGGAUGGACUCGCGGCUUAUCAGCUUGUUGGUGGGGUAGUGGCUUACCAAGGCUUUGACGGGUAGCCGGCCUGAGAGGGUGACCGGCCACAUUGGGACUGAGAUACGGCCCAGACUCCUACGGGAGGCAGCAGUGGGGAAUAUUGCACAAUGGGCGGAAGCCUGAUGCAGCAACGCCGCGUGCGGGAUGACGGCCUUCGGGUUGUAAACCGCUUUCGCCUGUGACGAAGCGUGAGUGACGGUAAUGGGUAAAGAAGCACCGGCUAACUACGUG